ACUGUACUCCUCUUAAGCUAUCAUCUGUUGUUGGAAGGGGUGAUGUAAGGGAACUGUUGUGUCAUGGCCUGACCUCGUGAUUGAGCACCUAGUGAAGAUGUGGCUGGCCCAGGAAGUACAGGUGAAAGCAAUUCAUCUGUUCUUCUCCUGUGUCCAGAAUGAGCUCAUUUAAGCCCUAACUUCUGAAAGAAGCACAUUUUGUGGAUGAAGACCACUUCCUGAGAAGAAGAGGUACAGCCUUUGUGGUUUUGUUGGAUGCUGACAGUAUUUCCCCAGACCUUCUGAGGAUUUGUGCAUCUGGGUGGAGCUUCAGAAGACUUUUAAUGAAGUUACAUAAUGUUUUUCUAAGAUAUCUUACAUCAUUCAGUCAAAGAAUUCUUCAAUAACUUAAACUGAAAAGCUCAGUGAAGGAAGACUGCCUUCUUCAAAAUAUUCCUGGUGAACAGGCUGUAUCCUCAAGAAAUAUAUAUCAACAUGGUGCUGCAGCACUCUGUGAGGCCGUGUUCUAGCUGGGAAACCUGUCUUGCAGUCUUCAAGUGCAGUUCAUGUGCAUAAAUUUAGUAGAUAAAAACUUCUCGGAGUGUAUUUUUACUGCUUGUUAACCAAUUCAGAAGAAGUGGUAAACACAAAAGUUCCUCUAUUAUCAGACCAUCAGAGACCUUGAACAUUAGGAGGCAUGAACUUCAGACUGAGGGCUGGUCCCUGAGGGGUUGCUUACCUUAUGUUAAUUGAACCUGAUACACAUCCAGUAUGUCCAGCUGUCCUGAUGCUCCAAGUGAUGCUUCUGACAGCUGGGAUUUUUGUGUCCCCCACCAGGAUCACAAAACUACGGAAUAGCUGAGGUGGGAAAGAAUCUCCAGGUCCAUCUGGUCCAAACUCUACUCAGGCUUGGGCACUCGGAGCAGAGCACCCAGGCCUGUUUCCAGGCAGCUCUAAAGAUCUCCAAGGAAGAAAUGUCACAGCCUGUCUGGGAAGCCUGUGCCAGUUUUGUCAUCUUUCCCAUUACUUGUUUGAAUCGUGUUUAAUAGAAUGCUACCUACUUGUAUUUAACAUCAUUCAGUUAGGCCAAAAAUGACAUCACUUAUUAUUAGACAUGUGUUCACAAAUAAGAGUAUGAAAUGACUGCUGAUCCAGUUUUCAUAAUCAGGUUCAAAAACAUUCAUAUAUUUUUGAUGCAAAGUGCUUACUUAUCUUUUCCCUGCUGCAGUGAAAUGUAGUUCUUAAAUGUAUUGAGAGAACUGAAGUUUUUAUCACUAAAGAUUUCAUUAUUUCUUCCUGACAUCAAAUCAAGUUCUUUCCUCUUCAACAGCACCAUGAAAUAAUUAAUUCUUUCCUGAAGAAAAGGGAAAAAAAAUCAAAGAGAGUUUUAUAUUCUAGGCUAGCUGGAGGUUUUUACAAAGGGCUGUGCCUACUCUAAGUGGAAAGAAACUUUCUGAAGGCUAAGGCUAGAGAGACUACUUUGAGGGGGAAAAAAUUAUUCCGCAGAUUUAUUCUCUUUUUUUCAUUGGAUUUUGCAUAAAUAUCAAUCUUAUUUUCUUAUUCUGUUAAUUAUACUGCUGAUUAUAAAUAUAUCUAUUAUUUUCUAUAGAAAAGAUGGCAUUUGAAUUGACUCCUUUAAAUGUCACUAGUUAGAUAAAUUUUCAGGUACUGCUGAGACUUCUCAGCUUAUGAGUGUAGUUCUUAAGAUUGCUUCUGCAGUUAAUGGUCACAGAAAAUGAAUUUUCCUCUUGUGAGGCUGUGAAUCAACAGUAAAAUGCAACUGCUCCUGGAAAAGUCCAGGCUGUGCUGUGAUGGUUUCUGAUUCUCCUGUGAGUCUUUCAAAGGAGAUGGGCAAAUUUGUGUUUGAAUAAACUAAGGAAAGAUGGAAAAGAAAUUAUUUUUAUCCAGUGUUUACAGGAUGAGCCUCUAAGAAGAAGUGCAUUGAUAGAUGGUUACUUGCUCUCUAACUUCUUAGGAAUAAAGAAUCCUAAUUAGUUGCAAUUCAACUUUUCUUUUCUACAGCAGCUAUUAAAGAAGAUUGUUCCCAAAAGAAAAGUUUAAAAAAUACAUAUAGGCUUGUCUUCUAUUUUACUACACCCCACUAAAAAUUGAAAAGUUCAAGAAAGUAGUAGAAAAUGUGCAUUGUGGGAGGUAUUCAGAUAAUCCUCCUGCGAUCAGGAAGAGUUUGAGAUGCUAUAUGGAGCUGAC